CUUUUCUCAUAUUUGACACACAUCAGCAGUGAGCAAGAACUGAACUGAUCCCUGAAAAAUUUCUAGUCCCCUUGAGGCUUGAAGAAUCAGCCCAGAGUUUGAAACAAUUUAAGAGCUUCUGCUCCUCUGUUGUGCUGUGUCAACCACCAAGUUGUGCCAGCUGAGAAUUGUGGUCUCAGGUCUCCAUCCAGAUCUUUGGUUGUGUGGCCACAUGGAUUCAGGCAGCUGAACUUGAGCAUGGAGGCACAGGCUUUCCCUCUAAGGGUCUCAGGAAGACCACCAAACAUCAGGGGAAACCGAGGCUGA
rnacentral:lncRNA from 1 species